rnacentral:rRNA from 1 species
GCAGUCCAAGAAUAUUAGUCAAUGCUCGCAAGAGUGAACGAGCUAACUGAAAGAAUAAACCAUCUAAGGUUAGAAAUCUUAUAAUUAUUAUUAUAGGUUUAAAGACGAAUCUAACUAACAGUGUCGUCCAAAUUCUGGUGCCAGAAGACUCGGUAAUACCAGAGACGCGAACGUUAAUCAUCUUGAAUGGGCAUAAAGGGUUUGUAGGCGGCUUAUUUAUUAAUAGGCUAGAAUCUUAUAGAGGUUAAUAAAAUACUUAGAGGAGGGCUGAUAUCCUUAGAUCCUAAGUGGAAUCCUAAUUGCGAAGGCCAUUUUCCACUACAGAUUGACGCUGAGACACGAAGGUUAGGAUAGGAACUAGGAUUAGAGACCCUAUUACCCCUAACUGUAAACGAUGAAUGGAAGAUAUUUACUAAUGUAAGUGUCGAAGUGAAUACGAUAACCAUUCCGCCUUGCCAGUAUACUUGCAAAAGUGAAAACAAAAAAAUUAGUCGGUCCUAAAGCAAACGAAGUGAAGCAUGUUAUUUAAUUC